rnacentral:lncRNA from 1 species
UAAGGGGCUGUUUGGAUACGAGGUGCUAAACUUUAACAGUGUCACAUCGGAUAUUCGGAUGCUAAUUAAGAGGACUAAACAUGAGCUAAUUAUAAAACUAAUUGCAGAACCUUGUGCUAAUUCGUGAGACGAAUCUACUAAGCAUAAUUAAUCCAUCAUUAGCAAAUGGUUACUGUAGCACCACAUUGUCAAAUCAUGGACUAAUUAGACUUAAUAGAUUCGUCUCGCGAAUUAUACUCCAUCUGUGCAAUUAGUUUUGUAAUUAGCUUAUGUUUAGUAUUCCUAAUUAGCAUCCAAACAUUCGAUGUGACAGGUGUUAAAUUUUAAUAGGG